GUGGUAAUGCCGGAUGCUCCAGUUGAUCGCAUGGUCUUCUGGGAAAGCUUUCGCGGUAUGGGAUGGGGUCGCGUCCUAUCAGCUUGACGGCGGGGUAACGGCCCACCGUGGCUUCGACGGGUAGCCGGCCUGAGAGGGCGACCGGCCACAUUGGGACUGAGAUACGGCCCAGACUCCUACGGGAGGCAGCAGUGGGGAAUAUUGCACAAUGGGCGCAAGCCUGAUGCAGCGACGCCGCGUGAGGGAUGGAGGCCUUCGGGUUGUAAACCUCUUUUAUCGGGGAGCAAGCGUGAGUGAGUUUACCCGUUGAAUAAGCACCGGCUAACUACGUGCCAGCAGCCGCGGUAAUACGUAGGGUGCAAGCGUUAUCCGGAAUUAUUGGGCGUAAAGGGCUCGUAGGCGGUUCGUCGCGUCCGGUGUGAAAGUCCAUCGCUUAACGGUGGAUCCGCGCCGGGUACGGGCGGGCUUGAGUGCGGUAGGGGAGACUGGAAUUCCCGGUGUAACGGUGGAAUGUGUAGAUAU
rnacentral:rRNA from 2 species